AUGAGCAAAAGGAAAUUGACAGGGAAUCCUUGUUGCUCUUUUUGCAAGCAGGUGGAAACGGUGCAACACCUGUUCUUUACUUGUCCUGUGGCCAGAAUUGUCUGGCGAUCUAUUGGAGUAGUUUUUGGCACUGAUAGAUGUCCGUCGAACUACUGGCAAUACUUCGUGUGGUGCCACGAAUUCCUUCCUGGGAAGCAAAAGUUUUAUACAGUGGGCUUAGCGGCCGUAUGUUGGGCCAUUUGGCUGGCACGCAAUCGAGCUACUUUUGAAAAGAAACAAAUCAAGACUCCUUUUGAGAUUGUGUUUUCUCUAUGCUCUUUUCUACUUUACUGGACAGGGCUACAACAAGGAGAGGACGCCAAGGAGCUUCACACUGGAGCUGAGAUGAUCAGGACUGGCGCAAUGCAGCUGAUGAAGAUGUGUGGUGCUGCCAAGCAACCAAUCCAAGGUGCUUGA
rnacentral:rRNA from 1 species